GACGAACCGAGCGAUCGUUGUUCGGAAUCACUGGGCUUAAAGGGCGCGUAGGCGGGCUGCCGCGUCCGGGGUGAAAUCCCACGGCUCAACCGUGGAACGGCCCCGGGUACGGGCGGCCUCGAGGAAGGUAGGGGCGUGCGGAACUGUGGGUGGAGCGGUGAAAUGCGUUGAUAUCCACAGGAACUCCGGUGGCGAAGGCGGCACGCUGGACCUUUUCUGACGCUGAGGCGCGAAAGCCAGGGGAGCGAACGGG
rnacentral:rRNA from 1 species